CCUACGGGGGGCUGCAGUGGGGAAUAUUGGACAAUGGGCGAAAGCCUGAUCCAGCCAUGCCGCGUGUGUGAAGAAGGCCUUCGGGUUGUAAAGCACUUUCAGUGGGGAAGAAAGCCUUGGGGCUAAUACCCUCGAGGAAGGACAUCACCCACAGAAGAAGCACCGGCUAACUCCGUGCCAGCAGCCGCGGUAAUACGGAGGGUGCGAGCGUUAAUCGGAAUUACUGGGCGUAAAGCGCGCGUAGGCGGUCUGAUAAGCCGGUUGUGAAAGCCCCGGGCUCAACCUGGGAACGGCAUCCGGAACUGUCAGGCUAGAGUGCAGGAGAGGAAGGUAGAAUUCCCGGUGUAGCGGUGAAAUGCGUAGAGAUCGGGAGGAAUACCAGUGGCGAAGGCGGCCUUCUGGACUGACACUGACGCUGAGGUGCGAAAGCGUGGGUAGCAAACAGGAUUAGAUACCCCGGUAUUC
rnacentral:rRNA from 1 species